UUCUGAUUACAGUUUAAUGCAUUUUUCACAAUUUACCAGCCAUCGUUUUGAAGGCUGAACAGACAAGAGUACUAAAGUGUGACGUCACGUUUCCAUAGCAACCGCUUUUCGGUUCUACACAAACCAAAUUAACAAGGGGAAAUCCUAUGCCACACAAAACUUUUAUAGAAAAGGAACGAUUUUUUUGCGAAUUGAUUUGCGAGUUUGCUUUACCAAUGAUGUAAGUAAUAUUGAGAAUAGAUUGUCUUCAUAUA